rnacentral:rRNA from 3 species
AAAUGGACUCUCAGCAACGGAUAUCUUGGCUCUUGCAACGAUGAAGAACGCAGCGAAAUGCGAUACCUAGUGUGAAUUGCAGAAUUCCGCGAAUCAUCGAGUUUUUGAACGCAAGUUGCGCCCGAGGCUCGUACCGAGGGCAUGUCUGUCUGAGCGUCCAU